UUGUAAUUGUGUAAACUCUGAAUGACGAUUCACCCUGAUAAACAUGAAGCCUUGUCUAUGCUUUAUCAAAUGCCUGUGAAGACAAGUUCCUGUGUAAAGAAGAACGGAAAGCUCCUCUUAAGCAGACGUUUAGUAUAGUAUGGACAGAAUGUUUUAGCAAGAUAUGCAUUUGUCUGUUAAGCAAUCUAUAUUCUGAGAAUAAGCGGAGACUGCCUCCGCUCUGUUGUGAUAACCGCAUGCCUAUAUAACCUGCAAUAAAGAAGAGUACUGUGUGACUGUCUCUCGACACGUUCACCCAUGUACAUGUAAUUGAUUACAUUGUCUCACUGUGUUUCUGUUUACCUUGGCAGACUUCUGUUUGGGAUUUUCCCUUAACAUAGGGAAAUCGUGAUAUCGACUGAAAACAUUCUUAAAAACUAACUGGAGACUUUAAAUGAGCUAAUUAAACAUCAUACUGGCUCUUUAAUCGAUGGAGUCAUUUCUGAAGCCCCCAUAAAAAAGAAUAGAAAAGAAGAUCAGGAUGUUUCACCUCUUAUUGCAAGAGGCUCCUUUGGAACUGAAGAAGCCUACCAUUGAUGAUUUAAAUCUACACAGACCAUUCAGUUAAAUAUUAGGCAGAAACACUGUAACAAGCAACAGGCUGCAAUGAAAUUUAAUCAUGAGACAAUUAAAUUAAAAGUGUUUGUUCCUGUCAAGCACAAAUUAUUAUUCUUACACUGUAAAAUGUGUAAAUUAUAAUAAUUUACACUGUAAAUUAUGUUGUUUCAAUAUAAAAAUAUGAUGUAAAGUAAUAUUCUUCAUCUUGUCUUCUCAUAUUAACUUUACCCUCACCCACCACCGGCCGCGGCAGAUGGCCGUCCCUUCCUGAGCCCGGUUCUGCCGGAGGUUUCUUCCUGUUAAAGGUAGUUUUUCCUCCCCACUGUCGCCCAGUGCUUGCUCAUAAGGGAUUAAUAAUUUAUGAGGGGUUUUCUUGCUGCUACUGUAGGGUCUUUAUCUUACAGUAUAAAGCAACUUGAGGAGAUUGUUUGAUGCUAUAUUAAAAUUCUUAAAUUCUGUCACAGCGGGACAGAACGGACUCACGCGCAGGCCCUAAGUCUCGAAAACACAAGAGUCUUUAUCACAGUACACCAGGUGAUCUAUUUACAAAGGUGAGGGGAAGGCCAGACUCCGGGGGUCCACACACGAAAGGGAAAGACGCUGAAAGUCCACGCACACACUCC
ensembl:lncRNA